GCAUAUAAGUAAGCGGAGGAAAAGAAACUAAAUAGGAUUCUCUUAGUAAUGGCGAAUGAACUGGGAUGAGCUCACCAUGGGAAUCGGGGUCCUCGACCUUGAAUUGUAGUCUUGAGACGCACUGCCAACAAAGGCGCAGGUGUAAGCCUCUUGGAAGAGAGCAUCGCAGAGGGUGAGAGUCCCGUCUGUCACCUGCAGCCCCUUGUGUACGGCAUGUGUUCUGAGAGUCACGUUCCUCGGGAUUGGAGCGCAAAUUGGGUGGUAAGUUUCACCUCAAGCUAAAUAUUGGUCCGAGACCGAUAGCAAACAAGUACCAUGAGGGAAAGGUGAAAAGGACUUUGAAAAGAGAGUUAAAAGUGCUUGAAAUUGCUGAAAGGGAAGCGAAUGGAACCAGUUCUGCUGGGCGAGAUUGUCGCAUGCCAAGGCCUCGUGCCGGCCGCAUGCGGUGCUUCUUGCCUUGUGUGUCAGCUGCGGUCCGAAGUCGGGGAAAACUCUGGGGACAUGGAUGCCAACCUCCGGGGGGGUGAAUGUGCCUGGCAAGACCCGUCCUCGGACCGUGAGCAGUGCUUCGGCAUGUUUGCGGUGCUGACGAAAUGCUUCUAUUCGACCCGUCUUGAAACACG
rnacentral:rRNA from 1 species